CGCACAAUUGGUCAUCGCGCU
rnacentral:siRNA from 1 species